CUCGUAGGUGGCCAACUAAGUCAGACGUGAAAUCCCUCGGCUUAACCGGGGAACUGCGUCUGAUACUGGAUGGCUUGAGUUUGGGAGAGGGACGCGGAAUUCCAGGUGUAGCGGUGAAAUGCGUAGAUAUCUGGAGGAACACCGGUGGCGAAGGCGGCGUCCUGGACCAAUACUGACACUGAGUGAGCGAAAGCCAGGGAGCAAACG
rnacentral:rRNA from 1 species